rnacentral:sRNA from 1 species
GUCAGGCGUGGUGGUGCAUGUCUGUAAUCCCAGCUGCUUGGGAGGCUGAGGCAGGAGCAUUCAAAGCCAGCUUCAAAAGUGAGGCACUAAGCAACUCAGUGAGACCUGUCUCUA